rnacentral:tRNA from 1 species
UGUAUUAUAGUGUAUUGAAGCACAUAAAGGUUUGAUCUUUAUAGUAUUGGUUUAAUUCCAAUUAAUUCAA